rnacentral:rRNA from 1 species
UACGAAGGGGGCUAGCGUUGCUCGGAAUCACUGGGCGUAAAGGCGCGUAGGCGGCCUGAUCAGUCGGGGGUGAAAGCCUGUGGCUCAACCACAGAAUGGCCUUCGAUACUGUCGGGCUUGAGACCGGAAGAGGUAAGUGGAACUGCGAGUGUAGAGGUGAAAUUCGUAGAUAUUCGCAAGAACACCAGUGGCGAAGGCGGCUCACUGGCCCGGUACUGACGCUGAGGUGCGAAAGCGUGGGGAGCAAACAGG